rnacentral:rRNA from 1 species
UAAGACGUAGGAGGCGAGCGUUAUCCGGAUUUACUGGGCGUAAAGAGGGCGUAGGUGGCUUUUUAAGUCGGAUAUGAAAUCUCCUGGCUUAACUGGGAGGGGUUAUCCGAUGCUAUUGGGCUAGAGGGCAGCAGAGGGAGGUGGAAUUCCCGGUGUAGUGGUGAAAUGCGUAGAUAUCGGGAGGAACACCAGUGGCGAAGGCGGCCUCCUGGGCUGUUGCUGACACUGAGGCCCGAAAGCGUGGGGAGCAAACAGGAUUAGAUACCCUGGUAGUCCACGCUGUAAACGGUGGACACUAGGUAUAGGGAGUAUCGACCCUCUCUGUGCCGAAGCUAACGCAUUAAGUGUCCCGCCUGGGGACUACGGUCGCAAGACUA